rnacentral:rRNA from 1 species
GACGAACGCUGGCGGCGUGCUUAACACAUGCAAGUCGAACGGAAAGGCCCUUCGGGGUACUCGAGUGGCGAACGGGUGAGUAACACGUGGGUGAUCUGCCCUGCACUUUGGGAUAAGCCUGGGAAACUGGGUCUAAUACCGAAUAGGACCACGCGCUUCAUGGUGUGUGGGGGAAAGCUUUUGCGGUGUGGGAUGGGCCCGCGGCCUAUCAGCUUGUUGGUGGGGUAAUGGCCUACCAAGGCGACGACGGGUAGCCGGCCUGAGAGGGUGACCGGCCACACUGGGACUGAGAUACGGCCCAGACUCCUACGGGAGGCAGCAGUGGGGAAUAUUGCACAAUGGGCGCAAGCCUGAUGCAGCGACGCCGCGUGAGGGAUGACGGCCUUCGGGUUGUAAACCUCUUUCAAUAGGGACGAAGCGCAAGUGACGGUACCUAUAGAAGAAGCACCGGCCAACUACGUG